rnacentral:rRNA from 1 species
AUUGAACGCUGGCGGCAGGCUUAACACAUGCAAGUCGAGCGGGGAAAGGUAGCUUGCUACCUGACCUAGCGGCGGACGGGUGAGUAAUGCUUAGGAAUCUGCCUAUUAGUGGGGGACAACAUUCCGGAAGGAAUGCUAAUACCGCAUACGCCCUACGGGGGAAAGCAGGGGAUCUUCGGACCUUGCGCUAAUAGAUGAGCCUAAGUCAGAUUAGCUAGUUGGUGGGGUAAAGGCCUACCAAGGCGACGAUCUGUAGCGGGUCUGAGAGGAUGAUCCGCCACACUGGGACUGAGACACGGCCCAGACUCCUACGGGAGGCAGCAGUGGGGAAUAUUGGACAAUGGGCGAAAGCCUGAUCCAGCCAUGCCGCGUGUGUGAAGAAGGCCUUUUGGUUGUAAAGCACUUUAAGCGAGGAGGAGGCUACUUGGAUUAAUACUCUAGGAUAGUGGACGUUACUCGCAGAAUAAGCACCGGCUAACUCUGUGCCAGCCGCCGCCGUAACAC